rnacentral:rRNA from 1 species
UACGGAGGGAGCUAGCGUUGUUCGGAAUUACUGGGCGUAAAGCGCGCGUAGGCGGCUUUGUAAGUUAGAGGUGAAAGCCCGGAGCUCAACUCCGGAACUGCCUUUAAAACUGCAUCGCUUGAAUCCAGGAGAGGUGAGUGGAAUUCCGAGUGUAGAGGUGAAAUUCGUAGAUAUUGGGAAGAACACCGGUGGCGAAGGCGGCUCACUGGCUCGUUUCUGACGCUCAGGCGCGACAGCGUGGGGAUCAAACAGG